GAUGAACGCUGGCGGUGUGCUUAACACAUGCAAGUCGAGCGGAAAGGCCACUUCGGUGGUACUCGAGCGGCGAACGGGUGAGUAACACGUGAGUAAUCUGCCCCUGGCUUUGGGAUAGCCACCGGAAACGGUGAUUAAUACCGGAUACGACCACUUCUCGCAUGGGAUGGUGGUGGAAAGUUUUUUCGGCCAGGGAUGUGCUCGCGGCCUAUCAGCUUGAUGGUGAGGUAAUGGCUCACCAUGGCUUCGACGGGUAGCCGGCCUGAGAGGGUGACCGGUCACACUGGGACUGAGACACGGCCCAGACUCCUACGGGAGGCAGCAGUGGGGAAUAUUGGACAAUGGGCGGAAGCCUGAUCCAGCAACGCCGCGUGAGGGAUGACGGCCUUUGGGUUGUAAACCUCUUUCAGCAGGGACGAAGCGCAAGUGACGGUACCUGCAGAAGAAGCACCGGCCAACUACGUGCCAGCCGCCGCCGUAA
rnacentral:rRNA from 1 species